ensembl:snRNA U6 U6 spliceosomal RNA
GUGCUCAUUGCAGCAGCACAUAUACUAUAAUUGGAACAAUACAGAGAAUAUUAGCAUGGUCGCUGUGCAAGGAUGACAGGAAAAUUUGUGUAGCAUUCCAUAUAUUU